rnacentral:rRNA from 1 species
UUGAACGCUGGCGGCAGGCCUAACACAUGCAAGUCGAACGGCGAGCGGGGGGUAGCUUGCUACCCUGCCGGCGAGUGGCGGACGGGUGAGUAAUGCCUGGGGAGCUGCCCAAUCGAGGGGGAUACCAGUUGGAAACGACUGCUAAUACCGCAUACGCCCUACGGGGGAAAGCAGGGGAUCUUCGGACCUUGCGUUAAACGAUGAGCCUAGGUCGGAUUAGCUAGUUGGUGAGGUAAAGGCUCACCAAGGCGACGAUCUGUAGCGGGUCUGAGAGGAUGAUCCGCCACACUGGAACUGAGACACGGUCCAGACUCCUACGGGAGGCAGCAGUGGGGAAUAUUGGACAAUGGGCGAAAGCCUGAUCCAGCCAUGCCGCGUGUGUGAAGAAGGCCUUUUGGUUGUAAAGCACUUUAAGCGAGGAGGAGGGCACUUAGGUUAAUACCCUGAUGUGUCGGACGUUACUCGCAGAAUAAGCACCGGCUAACUCUGUG